AGUGUUAAGGGUUUGAGGAUCGACAGCUACAACCGCUCAAUGUGAUGGCAGAUACGAGUGGGGACUAAACGAGGGUUGGGCGGAAAGACGUCUUGAAAACUUUGUUGUUGUUCCAAUAACAUGUCAAUGAAGGAGGAAUACAAAAGAGCAAACAUGUUCAUAUGUACAGUCACAGCAGUGAUGUAAAGAUAUUGGAUGGCAUCUUGAGAAAAAAAGUAAUUUCCACUUUAAACCCAUAACAGCUAAAUGGACACUAAGAAUUCCUGUUUCUUUGGAAUUUCAUUUAACGAAGAACAGAAGAGAAAGAUUAAAUAUUCUAUUUGUAUUAAAGGCAAUACGGCAAUGCA